CAGUUUCCUCAUCUUAUCCCAAAUCCUUCUUUCAGUUCUGCCUUCGUCACCUUUGCACUAACGUCUGAACUUUCUUCUUUUCAAAACUAGUCAGUACUCUUACACUUGCAGCAGGCAACUUGGGCACCGCUGCUGGGGUAAAACAGAGACGAAAUCCCAGUGAACUUACAGCUUGCAUUCUAGGGAAAGGAGAGAGAUCAUCAACAGGUCUGAUGGUGACCACCGUGGAGGGGAUUGGCUGGACUGGAAUAAGUGUACCUGCUACUUGGAAGCUGCUGCGCUUUUCCAGACUCUUGUCCAAGCCAACUUACCUGCACUACUUCAAUAACUUCCUAGGAGCCCCACAACAACCACUGCUGGUGCUUUCCAGUCUAUUCUCCAAAAGAAACUAAUGGGAUCCUUUCAAAACUCAGAUGGAACCAUGUCACCUUCCCCUUCAAAACAUUUUAAUAAUUUGUACCGGUUUCAGAAUAAACUUGAAAAUUCUUAAAACACAUACCUAGAGCUAUUCAAUACUCAGAAUUUUCUCCUAAUCUUGGUGUCUGUUAUGGUUUGGGUAUGAGGUUUCCCCAAAAGCUCCUGUUGAUGCAGGAGUACUCAGAUGUGAAGUGAUUCAAUUAUGAGAGCUAUAACCUAAUCAGUCCAUCUUAGUUUGAAUAGACUUACUGGAUGGUAACUGUAGGCAGGUAGAGCAUGGCUGGAGGAAGUAGUUCACUGGGACAGUACCCUAGAAGGGAUCCUCUUCCUUCUGGCCCCCUCUCCCCCAUACUUCCUGACCCCACCAUGAGCUGAGCAGCUCCCCUCUGCCAUGCCCUUUUCCUUUGAUACUCUGCCUCACCUUGGGCACAGAGCAAUGAAGCCAGCUGUCUACGGACUGAGACCUCUGAAACCAGGAGCCCCAAAUAAACUUUCCCUUCUCUAAGUUUUCUCACUGUGCAUUUUAGUCACAAUGAUGAUGUAGAAACUGACUAAAACAGUGUAUAUUUCAUGUGGCCUUGCCCUCAACUGAUUUUUCUUUCCUGGAUAUAUGAAGCCUGAGUCUCAAAGAUGACAAGAACUGAAGUUAGUCCCUGAAUCUACACAAUAUAAGAAAGAAUCUUAGAAAAACUCCACACUGAGACCCACCCCUAAUAU